rnacentral:tRNA from 1 species
GGGCGUUUGGCGCAGCGGUAGCGCGCUUCGUUCACACCGAAGAGGUCACUGGUUCGAUCCCAGUAACGCCCA